rnacentral:rRNA from 1 species
GAUGAACGCUGGCGGCGUGCCUAAUACAUGCAAGUCGAGCGAACAGACGAGGAGCUUGCUCCUCUGACGUUAGCGGCGGACGGGUGAGUAACACGUGUAUAACCUACCUAUAAGACUGGGAUAACUUCGGGAAACCGGAGCUAAUACCGGAUAAUAUAUUGAACCGCAUGGGUCAAUAGUGAAAGACGGUUUUGCUGUCACUUAUAGAUGGAUCCGCGCCGCAUGAGCUGGUUGGUAAGGUAACGGCUUAGCAAGGCAACGAGGCGUAGCCGACCUGAGAGAGUGGUCGGCCGCCUUAGAGCGGGAACGGCGUCCUGGGUACUGAGAGACGCAGCAGAAGGGAACCGGCCGCAGCGGGCGGAAGCAUGACGGAGCAGCCGCGAGUCAGUGAUGACGAUCCUCGGAUCGUAAUACUCUCUUUUUAGUGAAGAACAGAUGUGUCAGUAACUAUGCACGUAUUGACGGUACCUAAUCAGAAAGCCACGGCUAACUACGUG